UCUGUUCCUGUGGAGACUCUAGUACAAAACCAGGGGCCUCAGAUCACAAAGAAUAAAAAAAACCAUGAAUCGAUCCUCAAGGGGAUUGUCGGGCAGUCGUCUGUGUGAUGGUAUUCCUCAUCACCGACAAUGCCAUCAGUUUGGAUGACCGCAUCGAUCUUAUCUAUUUCGUCUGAAAAAUAAAAUAUCAUUAUAAAUCUCGACCAGC
rnacentral:lncRNA from 1 species